CAGCAGCCACGGUAAUACGUAGGGUGCAAGCGUUAAUCGGAAUUACUGGGCGUAAAGCGUGCGCAGGCGGUUAUAUAAGACAGAUGUGAAAUCCCCGGGCUCAACCUGGGAACUGCAUUUGUGACUGUAUAGCUAGAGUACGGCAGAGGGGGAUGGAAUUCCGCGUGUAGCAGUGAAAUGCGUAGAUAUGCGGAGGAACACCGAUGGCGAAGGCAAUCCCCUGGGCCUGUACUGACGCUCAUGCACGAAAGCGUGGGGAGCAAACAGGAUUAGAUACCCCUGUAGUCCCUGUCUCUUAUAA
rnacentral:rRNA from 1 species